GGAGAGGUGGCCGAGCGGUUGAAGGCGCACGAUUGGAAAUCGUGUAUACGUUAAUCACGUAUCGAGGGUUCGAAUCCCUCUCUCUCCGCCA
rnacentral:tRNA from 1 species